rnacentral:tmRNA from 1 species
GGGGAUGCUUGGUCUCGACAGGGAGGGCAAGCCGCAGAUCGCAGGUCGUGCCGCCCAGUCACGUUAAAGGGGCAAACGGCAAUAACUGCCAACAACAAGAACUGGGCCCGUGCUUCUUACGGAAGCAUGGCCCUCGCUGCCUAAUUAGGUAGCGCGUCGUCCUCAGUUCACUCGAUGGCUGGGGGUACGACGUCAGCAAGUCGAGUGCUUCUCGGGUAAACGCCGGUUAACCUGAGACUAAGAUAAGCCGGCUUGCCCAAAGGCACCUUUGCCCACU